GACUCCAUGAAGCUGGAUUCGCUAGUAAUCGCGCAUCAGCCACGGCGCGGUGAAUACGUUCCCGGGCCUUGUACACACCGCCCGUCAAGCCAUGGAAGCCGGGAGUGCCUGAAGUGCGUGACCGCAAGGAGCGCCCUAAGGCAAUACCGGUGACUGGGGCUAAGUCGUAACAAGGUACC
rnacentral:rRNA from 1 species